CAAGUCUGGUGAACGCAUGCAUGCUUCAAGCCCUCGUUAAAAUAAAAUCGCGCCAGGUGUCGUUUGUGGCCACAUCAUGCACAAAGAGAGCGAGCACUUGAGCUGUGCUCUGUGUGUGUGUGUGUGUGUCGCGAGCCGGCAAAAUAUGGGAAACAAGAGCCCCCAUCAUACACUUCGAAAUUGUCGGGGAGUGCCCGUUAAGCUUUGACUACCGCGGUCCGCCGAGAGGUGAGGGCGAGCAAUCGCUCAGGACGCAGCAGUGUUACGUAGUGGUACACGGAUGGUAAAAACGUCAAAGAUAGGGUUGAUCCGCAGGGAAGCGCGAGUGCUCAUGUGUUUGUGUGUGAGCAAAGGCGAACCUUCAGAGACUCUAAUGAAGUGGGCGAAAGCUUAAGGGAGAGUCCAAUCCACGGGGAGACCCGGUCCACAGGAGUAAGGGGGCGCUGCUCACCCCCGAGGACUGUGGAUGAAGACAGACAGACACAGAAGAGUCUAUGUCUUCAGGUAGUCAAUGGCCAGCAGCCGCGGUANNNNNNNNN
rnacentral:ncRNA from 12 species